rnacentral:rRNA from 1 species
AACGAACGCUGGCGGCAGGCUUAACACAUGCAAGUCGAACGCGUGUAGCAAUACACGAGUGGCGCACGGGUGAGUAACGCGUGGAUAUCUGCCUUUUGGUUCGGAAUAACCCCGGGAAACUGGGGCUAAUACCGGAUGGUUCCUUCGGGAUAAAGAUUUAUCGCCAAAAGAUGAGUCCGUGUACGAUUAGCUAGUUGGUGAGGUAAUGGCUCACCAAGGCGACGAUCGUUAGCUGGUCUGAGAGGACGAUCAGCCACACUGGGACUGAGACACGGCCCAGACUCCUACGGGAGGCAGCAGUGGGGAAUAUUGGACAAUGGGGGCAACCCUGAUCCAGCCAUGCCGCGUGAGUGAUGAAGGCCUUCGGGUUGUAAAGCUCUUUUGGCGGGGACGAUGAUGACGGUACCCGCAGAAUAAGCCCCGGCUAACUUCGUGCCAGCCGCCGCCGUAA